UACGAAGGGGGCUAGCGUUGCUCGGCAUCACUGGGCGUAAAGGGUGCGUAGGCGGGUCUUUAAGUCAGGGGUGAAAUCCUGGAGCUCAACUCCAGAACUGCCUUUGAUACUGAAGAUCUUGAGUUCGGGAGAGGUGAGUGGAACUGCGAGUGUAGAGGUGAAAUUCGUAGAUAUUCGCAAGAACACCAGUGGCGAAGGCGGCUCACUGGCCCGAUACUGACGCUGAGGCACGAAAGCGUGGGGAGCAAACAGG
rnacentral:rRNA from 1 species